GAACUGGGAACUGAGGAAGAUGAUAACAACUUCUGGAAAUGAAGAACACACAAAAUCAUCAUCGUAGCUUAAAGCAAGACAACAAGGAUAUGUUUCUAUUCAUCUCAUCUAUUUUACCUAAUCAUUUGUAUCUGUACCUUAAUUAUGCCAUCAACCCUCUAGCAGAAACAAAAACUAGAUGAAGUUAAAGGUAAAAGAUUCAAACUAGAUAUGAAAUGUGAAUGAAAGAAAUUCAACAGUUCAGACAAUUAGUGGCGAACUCUAAUCUUGGUGGUUUACGUAAUGGUGGGAAACAGAGAACGCUCCAGGGGUUACUAUGGCUACUCAAAUGACUAUACCACCUUCUUUUUCUCGAACUUCCCUCACGGUUAUGGUGAAGUGGAUAUGGUCAAGGUCUUCCAAAGACAGGUUAGGGUGAAAGAAGUUUUCAUAUCACGUAGGCUUAACAUAUGGGUGAGAAGAUUUGGGUUUGUGAGGUUAUUUGAGGUGAGAAACGCGGAACGCCUAGAGAAGGAGCUGGAUAAUAUAUAUAUCGGAAACAUGAAGCUCCAUGUGAACAUCCCAAAGUACCGAAGGAAUCAGCAGGAAACUGUUAAGGAGGAAAGGAGGGCCUCGAGGUUUCCUUACAUGGAAAGGCAGAGAGACAAAGGGAAGUGUAAGGAGAUAUGGGUGGAGAAGAAAGGGAAAAAGUCUUUUGUAGAAGCUGUCAAAGGUGAAGAGCAACAGGACAAAUGGAA
rnacentral:lncRNA from 1 species